rnacentral:rRNA from 1 species
AGUGAACGCUGGCGGUAGGCCUAACACAUGCAAGUCGAACGGCAGCACAGUAAGAGCUUGCUCUUACGGGUGGCGAGUGGCGGACGGGUGAGGAAUACAUCGGAAUCUACUUUUUCGUGGGGGAUAACGUAGGGAAACUUACGCUAAUACCGCAUACGACCUACGGGUGUAAUCAUGGGAUCUUCGGACCUUUCGCGAUUGAAUGAGCCGAUGUCGGAUUAGCUAGUUGGCGUGGUAAAGGCCCACCAAGGCGACGAUCCGUAGAUGGUCUGAGAGGAUGAUCAGCCAAACUGGAAGGGAGACACGGUCCAGAAGACUACGGGAGGCAGCAGUGGGGAAUAUUGGACAAUGGGCGCAAGCAUGAUCCAGCAAUACCGCGUGGGUGAAGAAGGCCUUCGGGUUGUAAAGACCUUUUGUUGGGAAAGAAAAGCAGCAGGUUAAUACACCGAUGUUCUGACGGUACCAAAAGAAUAAGCACCGGCUAACUUCGUG